rnacentral:rRNA from 1 species
UGUGUAGGCGGAGAAGUAAGCGUUGCGUGAAAGCCCCCGGCUUAACCGGGGAAUUGCGCAACGAACUGCUUUUCUUGAGGCAAGUAGGGGUGCAUGGAACUCUUGGUGGAGCGGUGGAAUGCGUAGAUAUCAAGAGGAACGCCAGUGGAGAAAUCGGUGCACUGGGCUUGUCCUGACGCUGAGAUACGAAAGCGUGGGGAGCGAACG